GACGAACGCUGGCGGCGUGCCUCAUACAUGCAAGUGGAGCGACGAACCAGGGCUUUGCCCUGGGGCUAAGCCGCGAACGGGUGAGUAACACGUAAGUAAUCUACCUUUGAGUGGGGAAUAGCCCGGGGAAACCCGAGCUAAUACCGCAUAAUGCAGCGGCAUCUAUGAUGACAGUUGUUUAAGAUUUAUCGCUUGAAGAGGAGCUUGCGGCAGAUUAGCUAGUUGGUAAGGUAACGGCUUACCAAGGCGACGAUCUGUAUCCGGUCUAAGAGGACGGUCGGACACACUGACACUGAAUAACGGGUCAGACUCCUACGGGAGGCAGCAGUCGGGAAUUUUGGGCAAUGGGCGAAAGCCUGACCCAGCAACGCCGCGUGAAGGAUGAAGUUUUUCGGAAUGUAAACUUCGUAAGAAUAGGAAGAAUAAAUGACGGUACUAUUUGUAAGGUCCGGCUAACUACGUGCCAGCCGCCGCGGUAAGAC
rnacentral:rRNA from 1 species